UUCACUCGGUGUGGCUUUAUAUCCAUCGUUUGCCUUACAGAUAGAGAAGGAGCAGUCCUUUUUCACAGUGACCGAUCCCCACCAUAAAUUUUAACCAAGCGCAAUAUCCAUGGCCAUCAGAAAGUACAGGCUCUACGCUGUUCGGAGGGAAAAAAAUCCUGGCAUCUAUACGUCUUGGGAGGAUUGUAAAGAAGAAGUUAACGGGUUUAAAGAUGCAUAAUUCAAGGGUUUUCGCCUCCUGCGAGACGCCAAAUCUUGGUUGGGAUUGGUAGAUCCACCAUUGCCACCACCCCCACUUACGAAACUUCAUUCUGGAGUGCAUCCUCGGACGGGGCUGCUCGAGCAACCGUUCUCUUUAUCCACACACUUCAACAGCAUGCAAGUUGGCCCAACAUUGGGAAAGUCAUCACAGAAAGCAUUCGUUCCUUGUUCUCAGACACCACUAGGAGCGAAUACUGUUCCGGAAACUAGUUCACCUCAGUUUGUACUGGUUGAAGAUAUGGAGGUGUAUCUCAUUUGCGUGUGUUGCCAACUGAAGCUUGAUUAUCCAGUCUUCAACAGGCGUGAGUUUUUUUCCGACAGUGGGGAGUGCUUCAUGGCUAUUGGGUGACACUGCAAUCCCAACAGUACGAUGUUAACUGGAUCGUUGAGGGUGGGUUCUCCUCUGAUGAGCAGAAGGCAAGGCAGGACGCGUCAUUCAAAAUGUUGGGGAAGGUGUUAUCUUUGCUCGGGAAGGAAAUCAACGAUUACAACUAUAGGAUCGUGGCAGGCUUGAUAGCUCGGGUUGAGGAACUGGAACGACAACUAUCAACACCCGUCUACCAGCGAAUCCGGGAUCUCGAACAGGAGAACCAAAACCUUAAGUCUGAUCUUGACAAGUAUAACGAGUUAUUUGAGUGUUGAAUCGAGGGUUGACAAUGUUAGCAACAUUCUAUGUGCACAGUUUAGCAGUGUGUUGUUAAUUCUUGUUCCUUUUCGUUUGUUCCUAUUUACUAGUUAAUCCUAUUUACGUUUGCAUGUUGUUAACGUUGACGGUGUUGUUGUAACGUGGUGGACGGUUCAGGACGUAAUUAUGAAAAUAUAAAGGUUAAUUACAUAUUUUA